rnacentral:lncRNA from 1 species
UUUGUUAAACAUUGAAUAUUAUAACAGAGUUUCAAUAAAAAAUACACCCAAUAUUCAACAAAAUGCGAGAGUGGGAGAGGACAAAAAUAUGUUGUGUUAAAUAAUCAAAGUCGCAAUCAAUAUGAAUUAGUUCAAAAUGCCAUAACCUUGUGAGAUACAAACACACAGAUGUACACAUACAUGACCACAAGGCAAUUAAUUCCAUACCCCCAGAAUUCUAAUUGACCAUGCAGACACAAAAGAAAAAAUUGUGGGAUACCAU